rnacentral:misc_RNA from 1 species
CCAAACUUGGUCAUUUAGAGGAAGUAAAAGUCGUAACAAGGUUUCCGUAGGUGGGGAUCAUUAAUUUUUUUUUUGAGCCAUUUUUUUAUGGCUUCAAAAAAAAAAAUACACUCACCCUUUGUGCAACCACUGAGAAAAGUUAAUCUUUGGGAGAUGAGUUUUGAUCUCAUCUCCCAAAGGUGUUUGUAUAAAACUUUUUUCUAUUACUUAUUGUCUUAAGAUAUAAUAAAUUAAUAAAUAAUAAAAACAACUUUCAACAACGGAUCUCUUGGCUCUCGCAUCGAUGAAGAACGCAGC